UAUCUUUGCGCCUCGGUUGCUGAAAGGUCAGGACCAUACAUAAAAAUUAUUUAAAUAAAUAUUCGAAUG
ncrna:unclassified sequences S15-Flavobacteria ribosomal protein leader